CUCAGAUCCCAAAUUGAACCCCUAUCACUCUCACGAAAAUCAUUCUUAGAUCCCCAAUUGAAUCCCUCUCAAUCUCAUGAAAAUCAUUCUCAUAUCCCUAAUCGAAUCUCAGAUCCCUAAUCGAAUCCCUCUCACUCUCACGAAAAUCAUUCUCGAACCCUAAUCUGUAAGCUUAUUCUCGAAUCCCUCUCACUCACGAAGCCUCAAGAACCCUAAUCUGUAAGAAGAAGAAGUAGCGUGCUUUGUUCGCGUGAGAAGAAGAAACGGAAAAGUAUUCGUCGAAAUUUUCACAGAUACUUCAUUUUCUAUUUUCGAAAUUCAACUUUUUCCUUUCGAAGUAAACAUGGUAAUCUAGGUAUAUUUAUUUUGGCCGUUGUUAGUUCUUUUUGCAAGAUUGUAUUGCAUAAUUUUUCUUCUACAUACAGAAGUGGCUCUUCUCUGUAGGCGCUGUUCCAACCUCUACAGUCCAAAACAUCAAGUCGACCGGUUGGUCUCCUUGUAUGGCUUCUUCAGUAGUUACUAGAAGAGCUACAUAUUCUGCUGGGUUUGUUUUAUUUAUUGGUUCAGCACAUUGCAUAUUUGUCAGGAAAUAAUUUAUGGAAUGAAUUGUGAAUGCAAUUGUUGUUACAUCAAUGAAAACGUAGUUAUGGAUGUUACAUUAAUGAACCAGGUUUUCUAAUUUGAUCAAAUUUUGUGAAAUUUACUUCCAGAACUUUUUUUUUAUUGUUAUACUAUGUAUACAAUUUAUCCAUAAAACUUCGUUAUUUUCAUUACUUUGUAAUUAUAAAUCUAUACAGGUAGUGGAAUAAAGUUUAAGUGCUAAUACUUAUGUUGUCUAUUCUAUGCAGGUAGUGGAUGCCUCUUUGUAAAUGCUAAUAAAAGUGUAAAUGCUUGUAUUCUUAACAAGUGAGUCACUCAUGUCAAAAUAUUCCAUCCAAACACUGCUUUUCUCUCUAUAUUUAGGGACCAUUUGAAUGAAUGGUUAGUUUAACAGUUUCUUUAAUCACUGCCAUU
rnacentral:lncRNA from 1 species